rnacentral:tRNA from 1 species
GGAGACAUAGCCAAGUGGUAAGGCAAUGGACUGCAACUCCUUGAUCCCCAGUUCAAAUCUGGGUGUCUCCUCCA